rnacentral:SRP_RNA from 1 species
CGCUGGCAUCCGGAUGACGAGAUCGGGCGAACCCCGUCAGGGUCGGAAGGCAGCAGCGGUAAACCAUGUUUUUCGGGUGUUCGGAAUCGCUGGCGGGA